rnacentral:lncRNA from 1 species
UUUCUUUUUUUCCUUUUCUGUCAAACCAUAUUUUCUUUAUUUGCACUUCAAACGUUAUCCCCUUUCCCAGUUUCCACUCCAGAAACCCACUAUCACAUAGCCCCUCCCCGGCUUCUCUGAGGGUGCUUCCACAAACCCACCCACUCUUGCUUGUCUUCCUGGCAUUCCACUACACUGAAGCAUUACAGCUUGACAGGACCAAGGGUCUCUCCUCCCACUGAUUUCCAAUAGGGCCAUCGUCUGCUACAGAUGUAGCUGGAGUCAUGGGUGGCUCCACGUGUGCUCUUUUGUUGGGCGUUUAAUGCCUGGAAGCUCUGUGGGAUCAGCUUGGUUGAUAUUAUUGUUCUUCCUAUGGGGUUGCAAACCUCUUUAGGUCCUCCAAUCCUGUUUCUAACUCCUCCAUUGGGGACCCCGUACUCAGCCCAAUGGUUUGCUUUAAAAAUCCACCUCUGUAUUUGCCAGGCUCUAGCUGAGCCUUUCACGAGACAGCUUUAUCAGGCUCCAGUCAGCAAGCAUUUCUUGGCAUCUGCAAUAGUAUCUGUUUGGUGACUGUAUGUGGGGUGAACACCCUGUGGAGUAUUCUCUUGAUGUUUUCCCUUCAGUCUCUACUCCAUACUUUGUCUCCUUAUUUCCUUCUCUGGGUAUUUUGUUUCCCCUUCUAUGGACUGAAGCAUCCACACUUUGGUCUUCCUUCUUCAUGAGCUUCAUAGGAUGUGUUAAUUUUAUUGUGGGUAUUCUGAGCUUUUGGGCUAAUACCCAUUUAUCAGUU